rnacentral:rRNA from 1 species
UACGUAGGGUGCAAGCGUUGUCCGGAAUUAUUGGGCGUAAGGAGCUCGUAGGCGGUUCGGCAAGUCAGAUGUAAAAACUCCAGGCUCAACUUGGAGAGGCCAUCUGAUACUGCCGUGACUAGAGUCCGGUAGAGGAGCACGGAAUUCCUGGUGUAGCGGUGAAAUGCGCAGAUAUCAGGAGGAACACCAGCGGCGAAGGCGGUGCUCUGGGCCGGAACUGACGCUGAGGAGCGAAAGCGUGGGGAGCGAACAGG